rnacentral:lncRNA from 1 species
AAGCUUAAAAAGGCAUUGAUUGCAUGGUACGGUGGUCGUCGCUUGGAGAACCCAUUCGAAGAGUUGUCAACCCUUCGACAGAAAGAAGGGGUGGAGGAAUACGUGGAGGCAUUCGAAUUAUUGUCAUCUCAAGUAAGACGGCUUCCGGAGGAGCAAUAUCUAGGCUAUUUCAUGAGUGGACUGAAACCACAAAUACGCCGGAGGGUGCGAACAUUGAAUCCGCAGAACAGAAUACAAAUGAUGAGAAUGGCGAAAGAUGUGGAAGCGGAGCUGAAUGAAGAGGAUGAAGAAGAGGGACAUAGAAAAGGAGGAAACCGGGUCGGGUCAGUGAUGCGGGCCCAAGGCGGAUUGCUUUCCAGAGAUCUAACCCAAUCUACAAAUACGGGUUGGGCCAACCCAAAUCAAAAAACUGGGUCCACAGGGUCCAACGUGAACCCAUCUUCUUCCCUGUUUUCAACCGCAAGAAAAAAUGAACAUUCUACAUCAAUGGAGGAAUGGAAAAAUGUUCGUAGCAUCAGGAACGACGAAAUGGCAGAGAGAAGAGCAAAGGGUUUAUGCUUCAAAUGUGGGGGGAAAUAUCACCCCACCUUGCACAAAUGCCCCGAACGAUCUAUGCGUGUGUUGAUACUAGGGGAGGGGGAGAGUAUGACGGAGGAAGGAGAAAUUGUGGCUCUAGAGGUGACAACAACUAACAGUGAUGAGGAGGUAGAGGUUGAGAGGACAGUUCCCAGAUUUUAUCCUUGAGGACAAGGAUAUUCCUCAAGAGGGAGGUAUUGAUAGAGAAGGUGUAGCUGAGAAACAAGAGAUGGGCCUCAAUUAUGGUCCAAAGCCUAAGAUUUGGAGAGUAUAUGCAAGGAGAAAUAAAGGGGAUAAUAAUUCAUGAAAUUCCUACAACUUAGCCUAAGAAAUAAAGGGAAUAAUAAUUCAUGAAAUCCCUAUAACUUAGCCUAAAUAAUUAUUCAUGAAACCCCUAUAAAUAAAGUUGUAAUGAAGGGAAUAGACAUCGAAGAAUACAAUCAGCAAUUGGGGAUCACAUUCACGUGACUUUAGGGAUUGAUAGUCUCCACUAUCAAUUACAGCAAUUGGGGGUCACAUUCAAG